CUUGGGUCCACCGUUAGGGCGUCACCAAGGUCUGCUCUGGUGUGAACCUGGGUGCCAGGACCUGCCUGCCAUCCGAGGGAGUCCAGGGAAUGGGCGGCCCUGGAGGUGCGCUCCCACCCUCCUCGCCAGGGCCUACCCCUGCUGGGUAGCAGGGAGCCCUGGGGCAGCGGUCCCUUUCAAGUUCUAAGUAGCCUCCCUUGGAAAGCCACGCGUGCAGCGCACGUCUGCUGGUCUGCCUUCACCGUGUCCGCCCACUCCGCUGCUCUGGGCCCCAACCAGUCUCUGUUCAAGGACUUGCAGCGGACACACUGUUCCCUUCCCCUGGGUGGGACGGCACUUGAGCUGUGCCACCAGCCAUAACCCUGCUCACACCCAGCCGCUCCCCCAGGUUAAUCUGGCCCCUGCCAACUCCCGAAUUGGCUCGAUUUCUUUCAUUCUGGUGCCGAAACCCAGGAAGGUACAGCUGAGAUUAGUGACCAUCCGCCGCUGGUGGGGGUUGGUUGGUCCCUUGGCCAUCCUUCCUGAACCCUGUUGGAUGAGCACCCGACCAGGCGCCUUCACCUUUGCCACUGCUGACACCUCGCAUCCACACCAGUCCCCGAUUCCUGGAUGCAGGGGCGACCCUCCACCUCUGUGUUUCCUCUUACCCUCUGGUGCCAUGUUACAUGAAAGGCUGCAAAGACAGGUGAGCCUUUUAAGGUGCCUACACCCACUGCUCUGCCUGCUCUCCCUGCCUCAGCUUCCCCUGAGCAGAAAGGGAAGCAAGACUCUGCAAAAGAAAGUAAAAUUCUCUCCUGGUCCUGCCUAUUUACAUAUCAACAACUUGUUGCAGGC
rnacentral:lncRNA from 1 species